GUAGCUGAGAACUUGAACUUGGCCUUC
rnacentral:piRNA from 1 species